UACGUAGGGUGCGAGCGUUAAUCGGAAUUACUGGGCGUAAAGCGUGCGUAGGCGGUUCGUUAUGUCUGCUGUGAAAUCCCCGGGCUCAACCUGGGAAUGGCAGUGGAAACUGGCGGGCUUGAGUGUGGCAGAGGGUAGUGGAAUUCCCGGUGUAGCAGUGAAAUGCGUAGAGAUCGGGAGGAACAUCUGUGGCGAAGGCGACUACCUGGACCAGCACUGACACUGAGGCACGAAAGCGUGGGGAGCAAACAGG
rnacentral:rRNA from 1 species